GUCUCUCGCGUUCUCGCCUCGUCAGUCUCUUUUAUUCCUCGUUUCGGUGGCGGCGGGUGUGGCGCUCGCACCGGCUGCCGCGGGUCGGCGGGUGGGAGCGGCGCGGCGUCCCCGGCGUCCGCGGCUCCUGUUUGAGCUGCAACCCCUGCGUCGAAAUCUGGUGGUACUACGUUGUCUCCGACCGCUUUUCUUUGCCGCAAGCCCGUAACCACCUUUCCGCAUGCACAAACCCUAGCUCCCUCCUGAAAUCUAAAUGUCUUUAUCACUGUUAUUUGUUACUGUUUCAAUGAUUCGUUACCAAAUAGCUUUGUAGGUACCACUGCUGUAUGAUUCCUCCCAGUCGAUGAGCUGGUUUUGGGUUAUUCAUGUUUUGCGACUAGUGGCUUAAGGAGUGGGAUCUGCGUGUUCACAGUUUGAGUAUUUUUUUUCCUUCUUUUAGUUCGGGGCUGGAUACCUGUUCUUUCUUUUUCCAUGCAAGACAAGGUACGCGGAACGCUGUGCCAAAUCUGGUUCGUUAAGGUUGGGUGCUCCGGUGAUGACCAAAUUUACCUUCAAUGUCGUUCCAAUUCCUGAAAGCGGCUCCUGUGAGAUGCUGCACACCGUGUGGAGAUGAAGAGACAUCUGAGGAGCUUAGUUCGUUUUUUAAAUAGAUUAACGCUUUGAGAAUUCUUGUUUGUUAGUUUCUUCUUUUGCGCUGCACUGAAUCUGCUUUGAUAAGGCUCUUUACUCCUGUGAUGACUGAAUUUACAUCCUAUAUCGUUCCAAUUCCUGAAAGCAGCUCCUGUGAGAUGCUGCACAUCAUGUAGAGAUGAAGAGACAUCUGAGGAGCCUAGUUAAUUAUUAUUUUUUUGGGAAACUUUUUGUUUGUCAGUUUCCUUUGAUAUCGUUUGUUCAGUUUUCAAACUAUUUUUUUUUAUGUCGAAGUUUGGUUCCAUUUGAUGAUGCAAACAGGUCUAAAGCUUUAAGGCCUGUUUGCACUGUAGAAAUUCACAGAAAUCUUAUAGGAAACAACACUUGCCUUUUGGUUUUCCUGUGAGUGCUGUUGAAACUUUGCUUUGCUAUUUGGGUGCAACGUUCAAACAUUUAUGAGUGAUUGGGACAAACCACAGUGUGGAUUCAUGCUGUUAGUUCAUCAAUAGAAACACCAGAUGUUUAAAAGUUUGGGGACGCAGUAUUAUUUCUUAUAUAAUCCAUUGCUAUAUAUUGUUUACAUGUUUGUCUUUUUUAAAGCUUCAGUUCCUCAUUUGAGAGACCAGCAUUUUAUUGUUGCAGAUGAGGGCAGAUUAUGAUAAACAACACAAACCUGCAGAUGUCUUUUGCAGUCCUCCAUCGGAGGCUAGGUCGUGAGUCAUGAUGCAAGGUGCGGAGAUAAGUUUGAAGCUGGAAAACGUAUGCCUGCUUAAUUGAUCUCAAUCACAGCCCACUCAAGUACUAGUCCUGGUUCGACAGUUUACACACAGUGCUUGCUGAAUCCAUGUGAUGCAGCUCCAGGAAGUAAUGUGAACCACAGAUAUUUUCAGAAGAGCAUGAUUACAGCGUAUGUUUAAUUUCUUUUUACUAGCGCUGUCUUGAUUUUAUCAUUUUAUUAAUAUCAAAAGAAAAUAUACUUAACUGUGGUGCUGAAAUCUUAGUUCCUUUUCCAUUUACCGCUGUAUGUUUCGUUUGUCUGCUUACUUAGGAAAAUCGCAUCAUGGAAACCACUGGACUACUGAACCUGACCUUAACAUUGUAGACUGUGAAAAAUGAUAGGCCUGUGCUCUCAAGUUCAGUGAUUAAUCAGUUGUCAGAAAUGAUACCUAUUUGUCAUUUUUUGGUUGCAAUGUCUAUUGUUGAUCAUCAUAACUUGCAUGUUGCAAUCAUGUAUUACCUCUUGGCGUCCAUUCGAGAAUGCACAUUGCACGGACCUUUUACUCGGCAUUUCUGUUUAGAACUAUGAUUGGUUGUCCCAGAUAGGCGCUUAUACUUUCUCUGGAUGCAGGCUGAGUACGGAGCUGGCAUCUAACAGUCUUUGCGCAGCAGCAUCAGUCCUCUGCUUAUGCAAGGCUAGCAGCAAGAGGGCUCCAGCAUCUUAUAUACAAUAUUAACAUUCCAGCAACACCUGCAGCAGAGAGGACACUAUCCUUCAACGGAUGCCCAGAGGAGACGAUAUCAGGAGACUGAAGCGUUUCAGGAACAGUGGGAGUGCUCGAUAUAUCUAAAAAAUAUUCAGAACUGUAGGAGUGCUCGAUAUAUCUAAAAAAUAUUCCCAAUUGUGGUAUUAGAAAGAUGUAUUCUGAUGUUUUUUGUUCGCUGUAAAAUUGAAAUUGCAGAACCGUAUUGCAUACAGUACAUAUCGUGUAUCGUUAUUCUUUGGAUCAAUCCGACCCUGUGAUCCCAGCUGGGACCUUCAGUUUUCUCGCGGAAGGCCCAAAGCUGAGUAUUCAAUUCGAUGACGUUUUGUUCUCUGUGAUUGAAGAUAUACUGGCGCUAUCUUGAACUUGAAGGAUGAAUUUUCAACUGCAAUAUAAAUUUUAAAAUUUCAUUUUUUGCACAAAAUGACAAUGACAUGACAGCGAAACCCUCCCGCGCGCCAUUUUUGCCGG
rnacentral:lncRNA from 1 species